rnacentral:rRNA from 1 species
CCUACGGGUGGCAGCAGUGAGGAAUAUUGGUCAAUGGACGAGAGUCUGAACCAGCCAAGUAGCGUGAAGGAUGACUGCCCUAUGGGUUGUAAACUUCUUUUAUAAAGGAAUAAAACGACGCACGUGUGCCUUUUUGCAUGUACUUUAUGAAUAAGGAUCGGCUAACUCCGUGCCAGCAGCCGCGGUAAUACGGAGGAUCCGAGCGUUAUCCGGAUUUAUUGGGUUUAAAGGGAGCGUAGAUGGGUUGUUAAGUCAGUUGUGAAAGUUUGCGGCUCAACCGUAGAAUUGCAAUUGAUACUGGCAGUCUAGAGUACAGUUGAGGUAGGCGGAAUUCGUGGUGUAGCGGUGAAAUGCUUAGAUAUCACGAAGAACCCCGAUUGCGAAGGCAGCUUACUAGGCUGAGACUGACAUUGAUGCUCGAAAGUGUGGGUAUCAAACAGGAUUAGAUACCCUGGUAGUC